GUUAGCUUACUAAAUUUUAAUUGAACAAAUAUUUAUGUAUGUUCAUUUAAAAAAUAGUCAUAUAUAGAUAUAGGAAGAUGUGGUGUGAGUGCCAAAGAGACAACUCUCCAUCCAAAUAACAAUUUAUAAAAGUAAACCAUUAUAGGUCAAUGUACAGCCUUCAACCAAGAGGCAUAUGUUUUACAUGUGUUUUAUAUUACAACUUCA
rnacentral:lncRNA from 1 species